ACAGUUCUGCAGCGGUAGGAUAAUUGCCUUCCAAGCAAUUGGCCCGGGUUCGACUCCCGGAGGGUGCA